rnacentral:rRNA from 2 species
GACGUAGGAGGCGAGCGUUGUCCGGAUUCAUUGGGCGUAAAGAGCACGCAGGCGGUUUGGCAAGUCGGACGUGAAAAUCCGGGGCUCAACCCCGGACCUGCAUCCGAAACUGCCCGACUAGAGGUAGGUAGGGGAGAUCGGAAUUCCUGGUGUAGCGGUGAAAUGCGCAGAUAUCAGGAGGAACACCGGUGGCGAAGGCGGAUCUCUGGGCCUUACCUGACGCUCAGGUGCGAAAGCUAGGGGAGCGAACAGG